AUCCAGCUGACGAGUCACAAAUAGGACGAAACGCGCAUCCUGGAU
rfam:Schistosoma margrebowiei strain Zambia genome assembly, scaffold: SMRZ_scaffold0000006